rnacentral:rRNA from 1 species
GAUGAACGCUGGCGGCGUGCCUAAUACAUGCAAGUCGAGCGGACAGACGAGGAGCUUGCUCCUCUGACGUUAGCGGCGGACGGGUGAGUAACACGUGGAUAACCUACCUAUAAGACUGGGAUAACUUCGGGAAACCGGAGCUAAUACCGGAUAAUAUAUUGAACCGCAUGGUUCAAUAGUGAAAGACGGUUUUGCUGUCACUUAUAGAUGGAUCCGCGCCGCAUUAGCUAGUUGGUAAGGUAACGGCUUACCAAGGCAACGAUGCGUAGCCGACCGGAGAGGGUGAUCGGCCACACGGGAACUGAGACACGGUCCAGACUCCUACGGGAGGCAGCAGUAGGGAAUCUUCCGCAAUGGGCGAAAGCCUGACGGAGCAACGCCGCGUGAGUGAUGAAGGUCUUCGGAUCGUAAAACUCUGUUAUUAGGGAAGAACAAAUGUGUAAGUAACUAUGCACGUCUUGACGGUACCUAAUCAGAAAGCCACGGCUAACUACGUG